CAAGAGUUUGGUUAUGGUUCUCA
rnacentral:siRNA from 1 species